GUGCCAGCAGCCGCGGUAAUACGAACCGUCCAAACGUUACUCGGAAUCACUGGGCUUAAAGGGUGCGUAGGCCGCGCGGAGGGUGGGAUGUGAAAUCCCCCGGCUCAACCGGGGAAUAGCGUCCCAAACCGCCGUGCUCGAGGGAGACAGAGGUGAGCGGAACUGAUGGUGGAGCGGUGAAAUGCGUUGAUAUCAUCAGGAACACCAGUGGCGAAAGCGGCUCACUGGGUCUUUCCUAACGCUGAGGCACGAAAGCUAGGGGAGCGAACGGGAUUAGAUACCCUCGUAGUCC
rnacentral:rRNA from 1 species